UUGUAAGCUGAUUUACAAUGGCUUCUGGGAGGCAGGACUUACAGGCGAGUUUUAACGGCACUUUCUGCUCACUCGUACUACAUGUAUCAUUCAGCCAUGGCUCACAAUGCUAUAAAAAUGUCUCCACUUGCGUGAUGAAACACGUCUAUCCCAAGCCCCAGUGAAAGUGCAGAAUUUAUACCGAGGCCAUCAGCACAAGGAGUUCAAAAUGUAGGCUCAAGCAAGAAUGACAAGCAUGUCACCACUCCAAUAUUCCAUACCCACAG
rnacentral:lncRNA from 1 species